GGGUCAGUCAGUUUAAUUAUGCUCUUUAAUUACUUCAUUUCAUGUAAUAAACAGCACAUGCCUAACAAAUAACUGUUAUCUGUCUAGGAAUUUGACCUGCAUUCUAACAGGCGAUCAGAAUCGGCUUAAAAAGUAAAUGUGAUAAUUAAAAUUGAAAAACUACAUAACUAGGAAGUAUUCAUCUCAUACAGAUGGGAGGGCAGUGUAGAAGUGCUGAUGCUAUGACAGGCAGAACAAUGCUGACUGCUUACACUGUCUGUCUCAGACACUAACCUUAUGGCCCUGUCAGAAUAUCUGACUGUCAGAACGAGAGCACUGCAUGGUCAGGCAAAGAGAGCAACCGGAGUGAGAUAGACAGACUGAGAGAGGAAGAAACGUAGAGUGUGUGAGGCGCCUGUCACAUCCCUCCAUUGUGCCGUUUCCUCUUGGCCUUUGUUUCUGUGUACACAUGACAGUAAAAUACUGGUAACACACAGAGCCUUUAGGUUAGGACACACAAAAGAGAACAACUUACAAAUAAGAGACUUAGUGUUAAAACCAAGGCUAAGGCUAAGGCUUUUUUUAAUCAGAUUAAAAAAAAAAAAAAAAAAAAAAUUAAGAAGAAGAAGAAGAAGAAGAAGAAGAAGAAGAAGAAGAAGAAGAAGAAGAAGAAGAAGAAGAAGAAGAAGAAGAAGAAGAAGAAGAAGAAGAAGAAGAAGAAGAAGAAGAAGAAGAAGAAGAAGAAGAAGAAGAAGAAGAAGAAGAAGAAGAAGAAGAAGAAGAAGAAGAAGAAGAAGAAGAAGAAGAAGAAGAAGAAGAAGAAGAAGAAGAAGAAGAAGAAGAAGAAGAAGAAGAAGAAGAAGAAGAAGAAGAAGAAGAAGAAGAAGAAGAAGAAGAAGAAGAAGAAGAAGAAGAAGAAGAAGAAGAAGAAGAAGAAGAAGAAGAAGAAGAAGAAGAAGAAGAAGAAGAAGAAGAAGAAGAAGAAGAAGAAGAAGAAGAAGAAGAAGAAGAAGAAGAAGAAGAAGAAGAAGAAGAAGAAGAAGAAGAAGAAGAAGAAGAAGAAGAAGAAGAAGAAGAAGAAGAAGAAGAAGAAGAAGAAGAAGAAGAAGAAGAAGAAGAAGAAGAAGAAGAAGAAGAAGAAGAAGAAGAAGAAAAACCCUCAGGAAUAAAGGGCGCUAUACAUCUAUAUACAGUAAAUGCCGUAAUCUGCAAAAACCCAUCCUACCCUUCAACUUUCCCCCUGCAUGA
ensembl:lncRNA